rnacentral:rRNA from 1 species
AGAUUGAACGCUGGCGGCAUGCUUUACACAUGCAAGUCGAACGGUAACGCGGGGGCAACCCUGGCGACGAGUGGCGAACGGGUGAGUAAUACAUCGGAACAUGUCCUGGAGUGGGGGAUAGCUCGGCGAAAGCCGGAUUAAUACCGCAUACGCUCUGAGGAGGAAAGGCGGGGGACUCGUAAGGGCCUCGCGCUGGCGGGAGUGGCCGAUGUCGGAUUAGCUAGUUGGUGAAGGUAAAGGCUCACCAAGGCGACGAUCCGUAGCUGGUCUGAGAGGAUGAUCAGCCACACUGGGACUGAGACACGGCCCAGACUCCGUACGGGAGGCAGCAGGUGGGAAUUUGGACAAGUGGGGCCAACCCUGAUCCAGCCAUGCCGCGUGAGUGAAGGAAGCCUGGUUGUAAGACGUCGUUCGGUACGGACGAACGUAGGUUACGUUAGAAGUACUGUAGUACUG